GAUGAACGCUGGCGGCGUGCCUAAUACAUGCAAGUCGAGCGAACAGACGAGGAGCUUGCGCCUCUGACGUUAGCGGCGGACGGGUGAGUAACACGUGGAUAACCUACCUAUAAGACUGGUAUAACUUCGGGAAACCGGAGCUAAUACCGGAUAAUAUAUUGAACCGCAUGGUUCAAUAGUGAAAGACGGUUGUGCUGUCACUUAUAGAUGGAUCCGCGCCGCAUUAGCUAGUUGGUAAGGUAACGGCUUACCAAGGCAACGAUGCGUAGGCGACCUGAGAGAGUGAUCGGCCACCCUAGAACUGAGACACGGACCAGACUACUACGGGAGGCAGCAGUAGGGAAUCUUCCGCAAUGGGCGAAAGCCUGACGGAGCAACGCCGCGUGAGAGAUGAAGGUCUUCGGAUCGUAAAACUCUGUUAUUAGGGAAGAACAAAUGUGUAAGUAAAUAUGCACGUCUUGACGGUACCUAAUCAGAAAGCCACGGCUAACUACGUG
rnacentral:rRNA from 1 species